GCUCUAUCAGCCUAGGUAAAUGGCUGAGGCACGCCCGUUAGGAUGUGGGAUCCAUUGAGAAUUAAUGCCAUUUGGCUGCAGAUAGCACCACUAGCAGGUGGCACUGGCUGGCUGGAGGUCAGCUAAGUGACUUGCCGAUGGCCUCAAUUAUGCCCACCUAACAGUCAUUUACCCCGGGUCCUUAAGUCAGGUAGGUUCAUAACCUUGGGAACCCAAAGUAGGCCCACUUACUUCAAUCACUUAGCUUCAUAUACAAAGACACAGUAGGGUAACCUUGCCAUUUGUGUACACUUCACUAGCCAAGUAAGAAGCCCAACUACCCUCAGUACAACUAAUGACCUAGCACCUGAGGCAUACAUCUAUGUUUUGAGAUAGGGUAUCAUAGUCCUAUUGUUGUGCUGGGUGUUACUAGCUAUUUAGUGACCGUAGUCCCAUAAAAAUACCUUGUGGUUUCCGGAAACUUUCUAGGCUCCUUUUCUUUAGUCUGUUGCCAAUAAAGUGGUAGCUAGGAACACUCUAAACCAAAAUAAGACAUUUUGAAUCCUUAUAAUUAUGUUAUAUGCUUUCCCCUUUUCAUUCUUAUUCCCAAUAAGGUAUCUUUUUUCUAAUUUUAUUUCAUAGUUAAUGCAGAAUGAUUUGGGAUAAGCUAGUCACUAUAGAAUAUUGAUUGUUUGAGGAAUAAGUGGUGGAAAUCCCUUACUGGUGCUAUCUUUGUAAAAAUGAUGUGAAAUCUGUUAAUUAUUUUUUGUUAGCAUGAAUUUCUCUAUGAGAAUUACAGGGCAGAUGGAUGUAGUGUUUUGCUAAUUAGUGAGUGUGCCUGGAAAACAAAUAUUCCCUUAUAAUAAGUUGGAGACUUGAUUUCCUGUAGUUGCUUUUUUGUACAUUGAGAAUGGUGAUGAUUCAUAUUUUUUGAAAUGUUAUAUGUUAGCUCUAGGAUGAUAUAUGAUUAUUCACAUGAAUAUUUGAAAGAUUUUUGGUAGUACUGUUUUAUAAUUUGUUCUUAUCUGUUAUUACCACUUGUAGCAGGCGUAGAGUUGUUCCUUGGCACUGAAACAGUGAAAGUAGUUACAGCUUCCAAGACUCUUACUAGUGCACCUGGAGAAACCUAUAAGUAUGAAAUUUUGAUAAUUGCCACUGGCUCUAUAGUAUGUACUAAUUAUAUGAUAAAUCGUGAUUGUAUAUCCUCUAUUUAUUUUUCAAGCCGUAUAUUUUAUGAAAAGAAAUAGAGUUCUUACUAGCAACUAGGCUUGAUUUUUCUGUUUAAUUUGAUUCCGUCUCCCUCUAUGCAAUUUUUUUUAUGCAUUCUCUUUUGUAGGUCUUUAGGUUGUCUGACUUUUUUUUUCUAGGAAUUGAUGCCAAGAACAUCUUCUAUGUGUGAGAAAUUGAUGACGCUGACAAGCUUAUAGAAGCAAUUAUGGCAAAGAAGGAUGGAAAGGCUGAGAUUGUUAGAGGGGGAUACAUUGGUCUAGAGCUUAGUGCUAUAAUGAAGAUUAACAAUUUUGAUGUUACUAUAGUGUAUCUUGAACCAUGGUGCAGUAAGAUAGCCAUUUUAACUUCUCUUAUGGAAUCCUAGUAUUCAUUGAUUUAGAUUGAGACUAAUAUGGAAAUUAUAAAAUUAUCGAAGCUGAAAGCAGAAUACUUCUGCAUGCUUUUUUGGGAUCCAUAAAAUGGCUCUUCAUUGCAGUUAUGAGGGUUAUUAUGCCAAGAAAGGUGUCAAAAUUAUUAAGGGAAUAGUUUUAGUUGGGUUUUAUCUAAAUGCAAAUGGGGAGGUGAGUUCUUAGUCAAAUGUGACAAUAAAUGUAAUCUACAUUUGUCGAAAAGUGUCUCUUAUGGUCAAAUUGCAUCUUUGUUUAGGUGAAGGUUGGGAGGGUACUGGAUGCUGACAUUGUUGUUGUUGGUGUUGGGGGAAGACCUUACCACAUUAUUCAAAGGACAGGGAAUUUCUUCAGUGCCAUCCACUGCUCUAUCUCAGCCACCACAACCUUAAUUAACAAGUUUAACAAUCCAAUUUACAAGAAUUGCACUUGGUGAUAGCCGUGAUAGUAUUCUUUUCUAUUCCUUUCAAGAGGUUGUCUGAAUCUAUUUGCCAAGAGCUUGGCCUUUGCUUGGGCAGAUCGAAGGGUGAAGCAAAGAGCAUCAGUGACAUUUUAUGCUGUAGGAAAUUGGGGU